rnacentral:lncRNA from 1 species
CAGAUAUUUAUGACUGAAGAGUCAAGAGAACAAAUCCAUGGGCCUAGUUAUCCUCCUCUUGCUAGUUGGUAUCAGUCGCCGUGGUUUUCCUCCCAUUCUGUGGCUGCGAUGUUCCCGAUGGAUGUAACAUCAUUUAGCAUUUGAACCUAGUGACUAGAGGCAGCGGCAGCGAGGAGUCACAACUGCUGAGUGAGGGAUGGCAAAGCAUUUAACUGAGUACUCUGCAGACACACUCCAGAUGUUUCAGGCCUGUUUGAGCAAAACCCAAGGCAUGAGAAAAUAAAA